rnacentral:lncRNA from 1 species
GAGGGGAAGAAGCACGAUUAGUAUGGAUGGGAGGGGAGUGUUUGGGGGGAAGGAUAAUAAGGCUGGGCUCUUUUGAAUUUCCCACAGUUACCACAACAGACCCGUGAUUGGCUGUAGCAGAGUCAGUCAUGACCGCAUCAGGACUAUCAAGAGAGGUAAGAGUAAUAGAUUUAGGAGGUAGAUUGAAAAGAGAAGCAGUAGAACCAAAAGUAAAAUUAGGUUUUACUG